rnacentral:rRNA from 1 species
UACAGAGGUCUCAAGCGUUGUUCGGAUUCCUUGGGCGUCAAGGGUGCGUAGGCGGCGCGGUAAGUCGGGUGUGAAAUCUCGGAGCUUAACUCCGAAACUGCAUUCGAUACUGCCGUGCUUGAGGACUGGAGAGGAGACUGGAAUUUACGGUGUAGCGGUGAAAUGCGUAGAUAUCAGGAGGAACACCGGUGGCGAAGGCGGGUCUCUGGGCAGUAACUGACGCUGAGGAGCGAAAGCGUGGGGAGCGAACAGG